rnacentral:lncRNA from 1 species
GGGACUUGUAACCCACAGCUUUUACCGCCUGGGUUUUUUUUUUCCCCGCUCACCUGCACGGGGAUGCUCGGCGGUCAGCAGCGCAGGGCGGGUAUCUCAAGAGCCGGCUCAGCUCCUUGCUGAAAGUUGGGGGUGAACUGACAGCACCGUCACCAUUUUUACAUAGGGAAAGCUCAGGGAAUAUCCGUGCCUUCCACAAGGUGUUUUGUUAUUGUUGGUUUUUUUUCCCCCGCUGUCACUUACAUUGCGUGCAAGUUUUUUAGCCUGCUGUGCAAACCAUCCCUUUGUGGGAGCAGAGCUGCCCAUUUCUCUCUGGUGCUGCUGCUGCUGCACUCCGCCUUCUUGCCCCAAGUCCUGUGUGGUGGGACCUGAGAGCAUCUGCCAUCAGAGCAGCCCCAAGCAAGGCCACAAACCCAGCCGUGCGUGCAAGGAAGUCAGGCUGUUGUCUCCUUAAAUGUGAUGACGAGCUGAGUCCUGGACCACUAAGACUGAAAGAGAUUUCCUUCCAGCACACGCGGAGCUCGGUGCCGACUGCUUCUGCCAUUUCCCAACAUGAUGUAGUUGCUGGAGGGCCAGGCCCAGAGAAUGGUGGUGAAUGGAGUUUGUUAGAUUCAGCUGGUGACCGAUGACAAGUGGUGUUCCCCAGGGUAAUUUUAAGAAGGAAGAUGUGCAACCAAAUGGAAGCGGGGAAUAUGCAAGAGCAGAGAGAAGCUGCCAGACCGGUGAGGGAGAUUUGCAUUUGCUGAAGAUCUGGAAAAAAAGUAUUCACAUGAGGAAUCAAACUCUAUAUAACCCAUGUAUGGUUAUAAAGCAGGUAUGUUUAUUACAGUGCCG